rnacentral:rRNA from 1 species
GACGUAGGAGGCGAGCGUUGUCCGGAUUCAUUGGGCGUAAAGAGCACGCAGGCGGUUUGGCAAGUCGGAUGUGAAAACCCGAAGCUCAACUUCGGGCCUGCAUCCGAAACUGCCCGACUAGAGUUCGGUAGGGGAGACUGGAAUUCCUGGUGUAGCGGUGAAAUGCGCAGAUAUCAGGAGGAACACCGGUGGCGAAGGCGGGUCUCUAGGCCGACACUGACGCUGAGGAGCGAAAGCGUGGGGAGCGAACAGG